UACGUAGGGUGCAAGCGUUGUCCGGAAUUAUUGGGCGUAAAGAGCUCGUAGGCGGUUUGUUGCGUCGGCUGUGAAAACCUGAGGCUCAACCUCAGGCCUGCAGUCGAUACGAGCAGACUAGAGUGUUGCAGGGGAGACUGGAAUUCCUGGUGUAGCGGUGAAAUGCGCAGAUAUCAGGAGGAACACCGGUGGCGAAGGCGGGUCUGUGGGCAGCAACUGACGCUGAGGAGCGAAAGCGGGGGGAGCGA
rnacentral:rRNA from 1 species